AACGAACGCUGGCGGCAUGCCUAACACAUGCAAGUCGAACGAGACCUUCGGGUCUUGUGGCGCACGGGUGCGUAACGCGUGGGAACUUGCCCUUAGGUUCGGAAUAACUCCCCGACAGGGGUGCUACUCCCGGACCAUGUCUUCGGCCCAAAGGUUUAUCGUCUUUGGAUGGGCCCGCGUUAGAUUAGCUAGUUGGUAGUGUAAAAGCCUACCAAGGCGACGACCCAUAGCUGGUCUGAGAGGAUGAUCAGCGACACUGGGACUGAGACACGGCCCAGACUCCUACGGGAGGGAGCGGUGGGGAAUAUUGGACAAUGGGCGAAAGCCUGAUCCAGCAAUGCCGCGUGAGUGAUGAAGGCCUUAGGGUUGUAAAGCUCUUUUACCCGGGAUGAUAAUGACAGUACCGGGAGAAUAAGCUCCGGCUAACUCCGUG
rnacentral:rRNA from 1 species